GUACCAAAUACAUUUUUAAGCUGUUUUUAACUAAUGACAAAUAUAUGAGCCAAAUCUCAACGAUUUUCCACCUUGGCGAAUGUACCAUGCAAAAAUCCUUGCAUCCAUCCCAAAAUACGCCUUCAAACACAUACCAGCAUGCACACCCUGAAUCAGUUAUGUCUGGAUUCACAAUAUACAGCCAAUGCAUGUGCAGCUGUUGCAAGCUAAAAAUCGUCAUUUAGCUUCAGACAAGGGUCUCGACAUACCCUCGUCUCGACCAACAGGAUUUCUCCCUCAUCAUUAUCUACAACCUGAAAACUGGUCAGCGCGCUCGUUUCCAGAAACAACCCAUCGAGUUCGUGGUUCUACCACCCAGGCAAUAUACACCACACUUCCUCCUUUCCCCCAGGAGCAUCGCUUUGUCCACGUGUCUUAACCUCAUUAGGUGGUAUUCUUUUUUUUAAUAAGGUUCUAUUCAGAUUUUUUUCUUCUUUGUUUGGAGAGAUGGUUGUGCUUCGGUCGAAGCGUCAUUGGAGGGAGGAGGACAGAGGGACUGACAGAUUGGAGAGAGAUGGGAGCUAGGGGUUUCGACUCAGUGAGAGAGAUUUAGCUAGGUCCUCUGCCAUAACCUAUGGGAUUUCCUCCAAUUUUAGAGAGAGAGGGAGGGGGGAAGGCAUGGUUGUGUGCAGUUUGUGGGGUUAGCCGGUCAGGAAGGGGUGACUGAGGGAGGUAUGAGAGAGUUUGAUUUUUCGGUUUCCUCCCUUAAUUCAAAAGCUCCAGACCGACUUACUCCACUCUCUCUCUCUCUCUGUGAUUCUGGGUUCUGUACGUUCUGCCAUUUUUGCUUCUGAAGAUACCUAAUUGCAGGAUUUCAUUUACCGUUUACAAGUCAACCGCACAAUGCCAAAGUACAAGAAAAGCGAAGAUUUGAG